CUUGGUCAAACUCGGUCAUUUAGAGGAAGUAAAAGUCGUAACAAGGUUUCCGUAGGUGAACCUGCGGAAGGAUCAUUACCGAGUGAGGGCCCUCUGGGUCCAACCUCCCACCCGUGUUUAUUUUACCUUGUUGCUUCGGCGGGCCCGCCUUAACUGGCCGCCGGGGGGCUUACGCCCCCGGGCCCGCGCCCGCCGAAGACACCCUCGAACUCUGUCUGAAGAUUGUAGUCUGAGUGAAAAUAUAAAUUAUUUAAAACUUUCAACAACGGAUCUCUUGGUUCCGGCAUCGAUGAAGAACGCAGCGAAAUGCGAUACGUAAUGUGAAUUGCAAAUUCAGUGAAUCAUCGAGUCUUUGAACGCACAUUGCGCCCCCUGGUAUUCCGGGGGGCAUGCCUGUCCGAGCGUCAUUUCUGCCCUCAAGCACGGCUUGUGUGUUGGGCCCCGUCCUCCGAUCCCGGGGGACGGGCCCGAAAGGCAGCGGCGGCACCGCGUCCGGUCCUCGAGCGUAUGGGGCUUUGUCACCCGCUCUGUAGGCCCGGCCGGCGCUUGCCGAUCAACCCAAAUUUUUAUCCAGGUUGACCUCGGAUCAGGUAGGGAUACCCGCUGAACUUAAGCAUAUCAAUAAGCGGAGGAA
rnacentral:rRNA from 1 species